GAGCCCGUGGCUCAAUGGUAGAGCGUUCGACUCAAAUUCCAAUGUCCGCGGGUUUG
rnacentral:tRNA from 1 species